rnacentral:rRNA from 1 species
CGUACACUCCUGCGGGAGGCAGCAGUGGGGAAUAUUGGACAAUGGGCGCAAGCCUGAUCCAGCCAUGCCGCGUGAGUGAUGAAGGCCCUAGGGUUGUAAAGCUCUUUCACCGGUGAAGAUAAUGACGGUAACCGGAGAAGAAGCCCCGGCUAACUUCGUGCCAGCAGCCGCGGUAAUACGAAGGGGGCUAGCGUUGUUCGGAUUUACUGGGCGUAAAGCGCACGUAGGCGGACUAUUAAGUCAGGGGUGAAAUCCCGGGGCUCAACCCCGGAACUGCCUUUGAUACUGGUAGUCUUGAGUUCGAGAGAGGUGAGUGGAAUUCCGAGUGUAGAGGUGAAAUUCGUAGAUAUUCGGAGGAACACCAGUGGCGAAGGCGGCUCACUGGCUCGAUACUGACGCUGAGGUGCGAAAGCGUGGGGAGCAAACAGGAUUAGAAACCCUAGUAUCCCAUG